CAAGUCGAACGAUGAGACCUAGCUUGCUAGGUUGAUUAGUGGCGAACGGGUGAGUAAUGUAUCGGAACGUAUCCAAUAAUGGGGGAUAACUAACCGAAAGGUUAGCUAAUACCGCAUACGCCCUACGGGGGAAAGCAGGGGAUCUUCGGACCUUGCGUUAAUGGAGCGGCCGAUAUCUGAUUAGCUAGUUGGUGAGGUAAAGGCUCACCAAGGCGACGAUCAGUAGCUGGUCUGAGAGGACGACCAGCCACACUGGAACUGAGACACGGUCCAGACUCCUACGGGAGGCAGCAGUGGGGAAUUUUGGACAAUGGGCUAAAGCCUGAUCCAGCCAUUCCGCGUGAGUGAAGAAGGCCUUCGGGUUGUAAAGCUCUUUCGCAAGGGAAGAAAACUUACUUUCUAAUAAAGAGUGAGGUUGACGGUACCUUGAUAAGAAGCACCGGCUAACUACGUGCCAGCAGCCGCGGUAAUACGUAGGGUGCGAGCGUUAAUCGGAAUUACUGGGCGUAAAGCGUGCGCAGGCGGUUUGGUAAGUCAGAUGUGAAAUCCCCGAGCUCAACUUGGGAACUGCGUUUGAAACUACCAGACUAGAAUAUGUCAGAGGGGGGUAGAAUUCCACGUGUAGCAGUGAAAUGCGUAGAGAUGUGGAGGAAUACCAAUGGCGAAGGCAGCCCCCUGGGAUAAUAUUGACGCUCAUGCACGAAAGCGUGGGGAGCAAACAGGAUUAGAUACCCUGGUAGUCCACGCCCUAAACGAUGUCUACUAGUUGUUGGUGGAGUAAAAUCCAUGAGUAACGCAGCUAACGCGUGAAGUAGACCGCCUGGGGAGUACGGUCGCAAGAUUAAAACUCAAAGGAAUUGACGG
rnacentral:rRNA from 1 species